GCCAUCAUUACAUAAUUUUAUUUGUACAAAGGAAAUGGAAUAAAAUUUCCUUGUACAUCCUCUCUCUGUUUUUCAUUUUUAUUCUCUAACAGAACUUCCUCCUUUCCUUUUUCAUCACCAUACAUCAUUAAGAUUAACAUGUAAUGAGCUCUUACCUUCUUACACUGCAUCUUCUAAGAAGAAAAGGCAUAAGACCAAAGAAGGAGACCACAGGGAUGAAGAGUGGUGAAGAGCAAGCAGUUGUGAAUUUCCAAGAAAUAUUUAUGAGCUGAUUUAAAUAUUAAUGAGCUGGUAGUCUGACAGCAAAGAGAAGACUAAGUCACAGCACAAAAUCUCAGCUUGGCUGUAGGUUGUCUUGUACUGCCACAAGCUGUACAGUAAAAUGGCCACAUUCUAAGCCUCUUGCUAAACAGGCAUCUCAAAAUUCUGAAUCAACCAAAUAGUCUGUCCUGACUAGUUUCUAUGCAGCAGCAUGAACAGCGUCUCAAGAGUAUAGUAAGAGGUAAUUUAUCUGAAAAUGUCUCCUGUCCCAGCCUGACUGCAGAAAAAUACUUCAGUUGCCUAUGGGCUGCCAUAAACGAAGUUGCUUUGCUCCAGCAUGCCCUUCUAUUAUGAUGUUUCUGCCUCGGAGCCAGUCAGCCACUGUGACUCCUCUGAAACCCUGAGCCUAAUUAAACCUCUCCAAGUUGCAUGUGUUAUGUGGGCAUCGAAUCACUGUGGGUCCCAGUGACUAGAGAACUGACUGAUACAAUAUCUAAAACAAAAUAAAUCAAUAUGUU